rnacentral:rRNA from 1 species
UAGGGAAUCUUCGGCAAUGGACGAAAGUCUGACCGAGCAACGCCGCGUGAGUGAAGAAGGUUUUCGGAUCGUAAAACUCUGUUGGUAGAGAAGAACGUUGGUGAGAGUGGAAAGCUCAUCAAGUGACGGUAACUACCCAGAAAGGGACGGCUAACAACGUGCCAG